AUUGAACGCUGGCGGCAGGCCUAACACAUGCAAGUCGAACGGUAACAGGAAGCAGCUUGCUGCUUUGCUGACGAGUGGCGGACGGGUGAGUAAUGUCUGGGAAACUGCCUGAUGGAGGGGGAUAACUACUGGAAACGGUAGCUAAUACCGCAUAACGUCGCAAGACCAAAGAGGGGGACCUUCGGGCCUCUUGCCAUCGGAUGUGCCCAGAUGGGAUUAGCUAGUAGGUGGGGUAACGGCUCACCUAGGCGACGAUCCCUAGCUGGUCUGAGAGGAUGACCAGCCACACUGGAACUGAGACACGGUCCAGACUCCUACGGGAGGCAGCAGUGGGGAAUAUUGCACAAUGGGCGCAAGCCUGAUGCAGCCAUGCCGCGUGUAUGAAGAAGGCCUUCGGGUUGUAAAGUACUUUCAGCGGGGAGGAGGGGAGUAAAGUUAAUACCUUUGCUCAUUGACGUUACCCGCAGAAGAAGCACCGGCUAACUCCGUG
rnacentral:rRNA from 1 species